rnacentral:lncRNA from 1 species
ACAUGUGCCGAAAAGUUAGUCUUGGUAUAAAAGGUGUAAAUUUUGAGGUGAAUCUUGUAGUUUUGGAACUAAUGGAGAUUGAUAUCAUCCUUGGAAGAGGAUGGUUAACUGCUUACCAUGGAGAGAUUGACUGUACCCAAUGCUCAGUAUCCCUAACCACCCCAUCAGGAGACAGGUUUGUGUAUGAAGGCACUCGACCUCACCCCAAGGUUUAAAGGACUAAUGGAAUGAUUGUAUCAACAAUGAGGCAGUUCAAAAGGAAUGUGGACCU